rnacentral:rRNA from 1 species
GGAAGUAAAAGUCGUAACAAGGUUUCCGUAGGUGAACCUGCGGAAGGAUCAUUGAAUAUGCAAACCACAACACGCACUCUUUAUUUGUGUACCGACGUUAGGUCGAACCGCGCAAGCGUGUCCGGCCUACUUACCUACACACCAUUGACCAACCAAUGAGUAAACCAAACUCCGAAGCUUUGGCUGCCGUUAACCGGCAGUCUCCAACGAAAACAACUCUCAACAACGGAUAUCUUGGCUCUCGCAACGAUGAAGAACGCAGCGAAAUGCGAUACGUAGUGUGAAUUGCAGAAUUCCGUGAACCAUCGAAUCUUUGAACGCACAUUGCGCUCGAGGCUUCGGCCAAGAGCAUGUCUGCCUCAGCGUCGGGUUAAUAUCGCUCCCCUAUACCCUGUAUAACUACACGGGUACAGAAGGGCGGAUCUGGCUGUUCCAGCUAUGCAGCAACGCUUGUCGUCGCAUCAACGCAUCUGGAUCAGCUGAAGAUCAGAGGCUAACCAAGGACCCGUCAAGGGCCGCAACUGGGUGGGCUGUCAAAGGCUAUAUUCUUAGUUGUUGGUCUGGGACUUUGUGUUCGGCCCUCAAACAGGAACCUAUUAACCUAUUUUCUCGACCUGAGCUCAGGCAAGAACACCCGCUGAACUUAAGCAUAUCAAUAAGCGGAGGA